rnacentral:misc_RNA from 1 species
GAUGAAGAACGUAGCGAAAUGCGAUACGUAAUGUGAAUUGCAGAAUUCAGUGAAUCAUCGAGUCUUUGAACGCACAUUGCGCCCCCUGGUUUUCCGGGGGGCAUGCCUGUCCGAGCGUCAUUGCUGCCCUCAAGCACGGCUUGUGUGUUGGGCCUCCGUCCUCCUCCCGGGGGACGGGCCCGAAAGGCAGCGGCGGCACCGCGUCCGGUCCUCGAGCGUAUGGGGCUUCGUCACCCGCUCUUGUAGGCCCGGCCGGCGCUUGCCGACACAUCAAUCUUUUUUCCAGGUUGACCUCGGAUCAGGUAGGGAUACCCGCUGAACUUAAGAAUAUCAAUAAGCGGAGGA